rnacentral:rRNA from 1 species
UGUUUCGGCAAGGGGGUCAUCCCGACUUACCAACCCGAUGCAAACUGCGAAUACCGGAGAAUGUUAUCACGGGAGACACACGGCGGGUGCUAACGUCCGUCGUGAAGAGGGAAACAACCCAGACCGCCAGCUAAGGUCCCAAAGUCAUGGUUAAGUGGGAAACGAUGUGGGAAGGCCCAGACAGCCAGGAUGUUGGCUUAGAAGCAGCCAUCAUUUAAAGAAAGCGUAAUAGCUCACUGGUCGAGUCGGCCUGCGCGGAAGAUGUAACGGGGCUAAACCAUGCACCGAAGCUGCGGCAGCGACGCUUAUGCGUUGUUGGGUAGGGGAGCGUUCUGUAAGCCUGUGAAGGUGUACUGUGAGGUAUGCUGGAGGUAUCAGAAGUGCGAAUGCUGACAUAAGUAACGAUAAAGCGGGUGAAAAGCCCGCUCGCCGGAAGACCAAGGGUUCCUGUCCAACGUUAAUCGGGGCAGGGUGAGUCGACCCCUAAGGCGAGGCCGAAAGGCGUAGUCGAUGGGAAACAGGUUAAUAUUCCUGUACUUGGUGUUACUGCGAAGGGGGGACGGAGAAGGCUAUGUUGGCCGGGCGACGGUUGUCCCGGUUUAAGCGUGUAGGCUGGUUUUCCAGGCAAAUCCGGAAAAUCAAGGCUGAGGCGUGAUGACGAGGCACUACGGUGCUGAAGCAACAAAUGCCCUGCUUCCAGGAAAAGCCUCUAAGCAUCAGGUAACAUCAAAUCGUACCCCAAACCGACACAGGUGGUCAGGUAGAGAAUACCAAGGCGCUUGAGAGAACUCGGGUGAAGGAACUAGGCAAAAUGGUGCCGUAACUUCGGGAGAAGGCACGCUGAUAUGUAGGUGAAGCGACUUGCUCGUGG